ensembl:snoRNA
AAAUGGUAAAAACAAUUACCAGCCCAUCCCCAGGUCUGUCAUAGAGUCCCAUGCCAGAACAAACUGUGGCCCGGCACCACUGCCUGGCCUCUGGUGCUGGUAGGCUACUGGGGCUAAAGCAGGAUGCACAGAG